rnacentral:rRNA from 1 species
UAGGGAAUCUUCCGCAAUGGGCGAAAGCUUGACGGAGCAACGCCGCGUGAGUGAUGAAGGUCUUCGGAUCGUAAAACUCUGUUAUUAGGGAAGAACAAAUGUGUAAGUAACUAUGCACGUCUUGACGGUACCUAAUCAGAAAGCCACGGCUAACUACGUGCCAGCAGCCGCGGUAAUACGUAGGUGGCAAGCGUUAUCCGGAAUUAUUGGGCGUAAAGCGCGCGUAGGGGGUUUUUUAAGUCUGAUGUGAAAGCCCACGGCUCAACCGUGGAGGGUCAUUGGAAACUGGAAAACUUGAGUGCAGAGGAGGAAAGUGGAAUUCCAUGUGUAGCAGUGAAAUGCGCAGAGAGAUGGAGGAACACCAGUGGCGAAGGCGACUUUCUGGUCUGUAACUGACGCUGAUGUGCGAAAGCGUGGGGAUCAAACAGG